CCGGCGGCGCCGCGCCGCCACCUCCCCGCGCCCCCUCCCCCGCCGCCGCUGAUUGGGUCGGGGCGGCGUGGCGUCACCAGCGCGGAGUGCUGGCGGCGGUGAUGUCACAGUGGCCGGCCGUAACAGAAGUGAUUUUGCUGGGAUAACAUAGAGGUCAUGGUGUGGUUCCUGUCAGUAUUGGAAUGGGUGAGGACAGAUCAAUCUAUACAGCUGUCAAACUACAUAACCUAAUGCCUUCCAAUCCACUUCAAAGCAAAACAGGCAGAAAAACAGCCAGCCAAACAAUUGCUUUAAAGUCAAAGCACUGUGACAACAGGAACAU